ACUCCUACGGGAGGCAGCAGUGGGGAAUAUUGCACAAUGGGCGCAAGCCUGAUGCAGCCAUGCCGCGUGUGUGAAGAAGGCCUUCGGGUUGUAAAGCACUUUCAGUCGUGAGGAAGGUAGUGUAGUUAAUAGCUGCAUUAUUUGACGUUAGCGACAGAAGAAGCACCGGCUAACUCCGUGCCAGCAGCCGCGGUAAUACGGAGGGUGCGAGCGUUAAUCGGAAUUACUGGGCGUAAAGCGCAUGCAGGCGGCCUGUUAAGUCAGAUGUGAAAGCCCGGGGCUUAACCUCGGAAUUGCAUUUGAAACUGGCAGGCUAGAGUCUUGUAGAGGGGGGUAGAAUUUCAGGUGUAGCGGUGAAAUGCGUAGAGAUCUGAAGGAAUACCAGUGGCGAAGGCGGCCCCCUGGACAAAGACUGACGCUCAGAUGGCAAAGGCGUGGGGAGCAAACAGGAUUAGAUACCCUGGUAGCACAGAG
rnacentral:rRNA from 1 species